GGGGUCGAUUUGGUUUUGACAGCAAGGACAAUUAAAGGGUAAGCACGUCGAGCGCUGGGAUACAGCUCGUAAAUCUCAUAUUUCACACUUUUUUAAACGGCGAGAAUAACUACGCCAUGGCUGCAUAAUCCGAAUUACAGUAGGAUUGCUUAGCCACUACAAGGUAGUGGGCCAUGAUGUCUCGUAAAGGCCUUGAUUUACGGCAUUUACACUAGAGGCACCGAUAAAGUAAAUAUAGUUUGUGUAGGGUCUUGAUGCACAAGUGAAAUUUAAUUGAGAAUAAGGUUUAUGUAGGUUGUUUUUGGCCAGUAUAAACUCGAAAAUUUAAGUAAAAACUAAACGUGUAGAAAACUGUUUGAUUGCUUGUUUGGACGGGAGUUCGAGUCUCCCCGACUCCAC
rnacentral:tmRNA from 1 species